GCCCUUCGAUAACGAACGAGACCUUAACCUGCUAAAUAGCCCGUACUGCUCUGGCAGUUCGCCGGCUUCUUAGAGGGACUAUCGGCUCAAGCCGAUGGAAGUUUGAGGCAAUAACAGGUCUGUGAUGCCCUUAGAUGUCCUGGGCCGCACGCGCGCUACACUGACAGGGCCAGCGAGUACAACACCUUGGCCGAGAGGUCCGGGUAAUCUUGUGAAACCCUGUCGUGCUGGGGAUAGAGCAUUGCAAUUAUUGCUCUUCAACGAGGAAUGCCUAGUAGGCACGAGUCAUCAGCUCGUGCCGAUUACGUCCCUGCCCUUUGUACACACCGCCCGUCGCUACUACCGAUUGAAUGGCUAAGGGC
rnacentral:rRNA from 1 species